rnacentral:rRNA from 1 species
GAUGAACGCUGGCGGCGUGCCUAAUACAUGCAAGUCGAGCGAACGGACGAGGAGCUUGCUCUUCUGAUGUUAGCGGCGGACGGGUGAGUAACACGUGGAUAACCUACCUAUAAGACUGGGAUAACUUCGGGAAACCGGAGCUAAUACCGGAUAAUAUUUUGAACCGCAUGGUUCAAGAGUGAAAGACGGUCUUGCUGUCACUUAUAGAUGGAUCCGCGCUGCAUUAGCUAGUUGGUAAGGUAACGGCUUACCAAGGCAACGAUGCAUAGCCGACCUGAGAGGGUGAUCGGCCACACUGGAACUGAGACACGGUCCAGACUCCUACGGGAGGCAGCAGUAGGGAAUCUUCCGCAAUGCGGGAAAGCCUGACGGAGCAACGCCGCGUGAGUGAUGAAGGUCUUCGGAUCGUAAAACUCUGUUAUUAGGGAAGAACAAAUGUGUAAGUAACUGUGCACAUCUUGACGGUACCUAAUCAGAAAGCCACGGCUAACUACGUG